GAAUUGACGGGGGCCCGCACAAGCGGUGGAGCAUGUGGUUUAAUUCGAUGCAACGCGAAGAACCUUACCUGGUCUUGACAUCCACAGAACUUAGCAGAGAUGCUUUGGUGCCUUCGGGAACUGUGAGACAGGUGCUGCAUGGCUGUCGUCAGCUCGUGUUGUGAAAUGUUGGGUUAAGUCCCGCAACGAGCGCAACCCUUAUCCUUUGUUGCCAGCGGUUAGGCCGGGAACUCAAAGGAGACUGCCAGUGAUAAACUGGAGGAAGGUGGGGAUGACGUCAAGUCAUCAUGGCCCUUACGACCAGGGCUACACACGUGCUACAAUGGCAUAUACAAAGAGAAGCGACCUCGCGAGAGCAAGCGGACCUCAUAAAGUAUGUCGUAGUCCGGAUUGGAGUCUGCAACUCGACUCCAUGAAGUCGGAAUCGCUAGUAAUCGUA
rnacentral:rRNA from 1 species